rnacentral:tRNA from 1 species
AUUCGUAUAGUUAAAUAAAUAACAUGAUUUUGAAGCAAUCAAAGUAGAAAAUAUUCUUGUGGAUA